rnacentral:misc_RNA from 1 species
CACGAAGGGCCCAAGCGUUAAUCGGAAUCACUGGGCUUAAAGGGUGCGCAGGCGGACACGCAAGUACCUUGUGAAAUCCCAGAGCUCAACUCUGGAAUUGCUCGGUAAACUGCGCGUCUUGAGCGCGGCAGAGGCUGUCAGAACGCUAGGUGGAGCGGUGAAAUGCGUAGAGAUCUAGCGGAAUGCCAAAGGUGAAGACAGACAGCUGGGCCGUCGCUGACGCUCAGGCACGAAAGCGUGGGUAGCGAACGGG